rnacentral:tRNA from 1 species
CCAUUUGUGGUCUAGUGGUAGAAUUCUUGCCUUCCAUGCAGGCUACCCGGGUUCAAUUCCUGGCCAAUGCA